GAUGAACGCUGGCGGCGUGCCUAAUACAUGCAAGUCGAGCGAACAGACGAGGAGCUUGCUCCUCUGACGUUAGCGGCGGACGGGUGAGUAACACGUGGAUAACCUACCUAUAAGACUUGGAUAACUUCGGGAAACCGUAGCUAAUACCGGAUAAUAUAUUGAACCGCAUGGUUCAAUAGUGAAAGACGGUUUUGCUGUCACUUAUAGAUGUAUCCGCGCCGCAUUAGCUAGUUGGUAAGGUAACGGCUUACCAAGGCAACGAUGCGUAGCCGACAUGAGAGGGUGAUAGGCGACACUGGAACUGAGACACGGACAAGACUCCUACGGGAGGCAGCAGUAGGGAAUCUUCCGCAAUGGGCGAAAGCAUGACGGAGCAACGCAGCGUGAGUGAUGAAGGUCUUCGGAUAGUAAAACUCUGUUAUGAGGGAAGAACAAAUGUGUAAGUAACUAUGCACGUAUUGACGGUACCUAAUCAGAAAGCCACGGCUAACUACGUG
rnacentral:rRNA from 1 species